UACAGAGGGGGCAAGCGUUAUUCGGAAUUAUUGGGCGUAAAGGGCGCGUAGGCGGCUUUGCAAGUGGCGGGUGAAAUCCCUCGGCUUAACCGAGGAACUGCCUGCCAGACUGUGAGGCUUGAGACCGGGAGAGGUGAGUGGAAUUUCCAGUGUAGCGGUGAAAUGCGUAGAUAUUGGGAGGAACACCAGUGGCGAAGGCGGCUCACUGGACCGGAACUGACGCUGAGGCGCGAAAGCGUGGGGAGCAAACAGG
rnacentral:rRNA from 1 species